UGCGUGUGUCAGACAGUCGCCACAUAUCGUAUGUGGAGGAAAGUCCGGACACACACCGGAAAUAUUCCGGUACCAUGUAGUAGGUAACACCUAUCAAGCGCAAGCUUCGCGGUGCGAACAGCGAUGCCGUUGUUUGCAAAAGCAACGGCGUCCGCAUCCUUGCGGACGAACCCGACAGUGAUGUCGGAAGUGCAACAGCAAAAUCCGUACAUGUGUGCAAGGCCGUACCCGAUUGUUUGUAUGUGCAAACAAUCUGGAGUGCCGCUUGACCCGCCUGGCAACAGGUGCGGCAAGAUAAAUGGCUGCCCUUUGACAGAAUCCGGCUUAUCGACACGCGCAAACA
rnacentral:RNase_P_RNA from 1 species